GCUUCUCUCUCCAAACACUGUUUUAUGUUAAGUUUCAGUCAGUUUUUCACGCUGAGAUCAUUUUUUUUUUUUGUAAAUAUGAUGAUUUUUGGGACUGAUUAUGAAACAAAUGAUUUGAUUUUAGCCUUAAUGUAAUAACAAGGAUUAAUUAUUAAAGAUGAAGAUUUUGUGCUGUUUUUUAUAAUAAUUGCUGAGUGCUGUUGAGAAGAGCUGCUGUUGAGUCUGAUAUCAGUGUAAUGAAGCACUGUGGUACACUUUUGGUGGAGGAACUAAACUGACCAUCAGAACUGGUCCCGCAGUGAAGCCCUCCGUGUCUCUGCUGCCUCCCUCUUCUCUGCAGAUCUCUGGAGACUCAGCCGCACUGCUCUGUCUGCUCAGCUCUUACUCUCCACAGGGGGCGCAGGUGAGCUGGACGCUGGACGGGUCAGAGGUCACCGAGGGGGUUCAGACCAGCGCAGAGAGCGAGCGGGACGGACGCUACAGCCGCAGCAGCGUCCUG